rnacentral:rRNA from 1 species
AUACGGAGGAUCCGAGCGUUAUCCGGAUUUAUUGGGUUUAAAGGGUGCUCAGGCGGGGGAUUAAGUCGGCGGUGAAAUUUUGCAGCUCAACUGUAAAAGUGCCUUCGAAACUGGGUUCCUUGAGUGUGGAUGAGGUAGGCGGAAUUUGUGGUGUAGCGGUGAAAUGCAUAGAUAUCACGAGGAACUCCGAUUGCGCAGGCAGCUUACUAAACCAUAACUGACGCUCAAGCACGAAGGCGUGGGGAUCAAACAGGAUUAGAUACCCUGGUAGUCCACGCAGUAAACGAUGAUUACUGGCUGUUUGCGAUAUAAUGUAAGCGGCUGAGCGAAAGCGUUAAGUAAUCCACCUGGGGAGUACGUUCGCAAGAAUGAAACUCAAAGGAAUUGACGGGG